UUCAAUAUUUCAAAAUUCUAACCACCUUUGCUGGAGAAAUAGUGAAGGAAUCGUGUGGCCAGGUCAAAACCUUUGAUGGCUGCAGCAGGAAUGGGAAUCUGAAGGACCUGGUAUCGGUGGUGAGAGGUGAAGCAGAUUUCUGAUCUAGCUUUGACUCAGCCAAAAUAUUUCCCUGGUCUUCAGCAAUCACCUCCUGCAGUCAGAGAACAGAAAAACACAUCUGAGAAUCACUACAAAAACAGUAAAAUAAUUUGCUAAUGUAAAAUCAUUUCUGCGAGCAGAGAGACUUGAACUAGGACAACUUUGAUCUUAGAAUAAAU
rnacentral:lncRNA from 1 species